rnacentral:rRNA from 1 species
CAGACUCGAGUCUCGUCUCGCACAGCCCUGGUUGCCGGCCGAAUGCCUCAUUCCAAAUUCCUUCCCCUUAUCAACUUUUCGAAUGUUUUGGGUAUUUGGCCCAAACAUGGUGGCAACGGGUAACGGAGGGUUAGGGCUCGACCCCGGAGAAGGAGCCUGAGAAACGGCUACUACAUCCAAGGAAGGCAGCAGGCGCGCAAAUUACCCAAUCCCGACACGGGGAGGUAGUGACAAUAAAUACUGAUACAGGGCUCUUUUGGGUCUUGUAAUCGGAAUGAGUACAAUUUAAAUCCCUUAACGAGGAACAAUUGGAGGGCAAGUCUGGUGCCAGCAGCCGCGGUAAUUCCAGCUCCAAUAGCGUAUAUUAAAGUUGUUGUGGUUAAAAAGCUCGUAGUUGAACCUUGGGCCUGGCUGGCCGGUCCGCCUCACCGCGUGCACUGGUCCGGCCGGGCCUUUCCCUCUGCGGAACCCCAUGCCCUUCACUGGGUGUGGCGGGGAAACAGGACUUUUACUUUGAAAAAAUUAGAGUGCUCAAGGCAGGCCUAUGCUCGAAUACAUUAGCAUGGAAUAAUAGAAUAGGACGUGUGGUUCUAUUUUGUUGGUUUCUAGGACCGCCGUAAUGAUUAAUAGGGACAGUCGGGGGCAUCAGUAUUCAAUUGUCAGAGGUGAAAUUCUUGGAUUUAUUGAAGACUAACUACUGCGAAAAGCAUUUGCCAAGGAUGUUUUCAUUAAUUCAUGAACGAAAGUUAUGGGAUCGAAGACGAUCAGAUACCGUCGUAGUCUUAACCAUAAACUAUGCCGACUAGGGAUCGGACGAUGUUACAUUUUUUGACGCGUUCGGCACCUUUACGAGUACAUCAAAAUGCUUGAGCUCCAUGGGGAAGUAUGGUUCGCUAUGGCUUGACACACUUCGAGCACUAAGACUCUUCUAACA